rnacentral:rRNA from 1 species
UACGUAUGGAGCAAGCGUUAUCCGGAUUUACUGGGUGUAAAGGGUGCGUAGGUGGCAGUGCAAGUCAGAUGUGAAAGGCCGGGGCUCAACCCCGGAGCUGCAUUUGAAACUGCUCGGCUGGAGUACAGGAGAGGCAGGCGGAAUUCCUAGUGUAGCGGUGAAAUGCGUAGAUAUUAGGAGGAACACCAGUGGCGAAGGCGGCCUGCUGGACUGUUACUGACACUGAGGCACGAAAGCGUGGGGAGCAAACAGG